AAGUAAUCUGGCAGAAUAAAUGCGAUUGAUUUAGGUUUAAUUUAUAGGUUAAAACCUGAUUACUUA
rnacentral:tRNA from 1 species